GAUUCUCGUGCUUCUAAAACGCCUGUAUAAAUCGAUAGACGCUUGUUGUGUAAUUCACAUGACAGUUAAAUAUACAGCUAUAUAAAUGUUUGAAACUAUAGAAAACUGACUACGAGAAAAACACCAGAGCUGUAAAGUUUAAGUACCAGCAAACAUGAAGCUGAAUAUCGACGGCUUAUUAGUUUACUUCCCGUAUGACUACAUUUAUCCUGAACAAUACUCGUACAUGCUCGAGCUGAAGAGGACGCUGGAUGCGAAGGGUCAUGGAGUUCUCGAAAUGCCCUCAGGGACCGGAAAAACUAUUUCUCUUCUCUCACUCAUCGUUGCUUACCAGAAGGCUUACCCUUUAGAAGUCACAAAGCUUGUCUACUGUUCCCGCACCGUGCCUGAGAUAGAGAAGGUUGUGGAGGAGCUUAGGAAACUAAUGGAUUAUUAUACUAAGCAAACAAAAGCGAAAAAUGACUUCCUUGCACUGGCACUUUCUUCACGGAAAAAUCUGUGCAUUCAUCCAGAGGUGAGCUCCCUGCGGUUUGGAAAAGAAGUAGAUGGAAAGUGUCACAGUCUGACAGCAUCCUAUAUUCGAGCUCAGCAUCACAGUAAUCCAAGUCAACCGGUCUGCCAAUUCUUUGAGGAAUUUGAUGCAGUAGGCAGACAGGUGCCCAUUGCUCCUGGUAUAUAUAACUUGGAUGAUCUGAAGGACUUUGGACGUAGAAAAGGCUGGUGUCCGUACUUCCUGGCACGUUAUGCAAUUCUUCACGCUAACAUCGUGGUGUACAGCUACCAUUACUUACUAGAUCCCAAAAUUGCAGACCUGGUCUCGAAAGAGCUUGCAAAGAAAUCUGUGGUUGUGUUUGACGAGGCGCACAACAUCGAUAAUGUGUGUAUUGAUUCCAUGAGCGUCAACAUUACCAGGAGGACGCUGGAUCGCUGCCAGACUAAUGUGGAAACCCUGCAAAACACCAUUAGCAGAAUUAAGGAAACAGAUGCUGCCAAACUCAGAGAAGAAUACAGGAGAUUAGUUGAAGGUCUUAAAGAAGCAAAUGUUGCCAGAGAAACUGACAUGUAUCUGUCCAAUCCAGUUCUGCCAGAUGAAAUCCUCCAAGAGGCUGUACCUGGCAGCAUUCGCACUGCAGAGCACUUUGUGGGCUUCAUGAAGCGCUUUCUUGAAUACCUGAAGGCACGUUUGCGGAUCCAUCAUGUGGUGCAGGAGAGCGCUCCUCAGUUCCUCAAAGACAUCUAUGAGAAGGUCUGCAUUGACCGCAAACCUCUGAGAUUUUGUGCCGAGAGGCUACGCUCACUGCUGAGGACACUAGAGAUUGCAGACAUUGCUGACUUCUCAGCCGUUACCCUGAUCUCACACUUUGCCACACUUGUCAGCACCUACAGCAAAGGCUUCACCAUCAUCAUUGAGCCCUUUGAAGAUAGAACGCCAACAAUAGCAAAUCCUGUUCUUCACUUCAGUUGCAUGGACCCCUCUAUCGCCAUAAAGCCAGUGUUUGGGCGCUUUCAAUCAGUCAUUAUUACAUCAGGGACUCUCUCUCCGCUGGACAUCUAUCCACGCAUCCUUGAUUUCCGCCCAGUCACUAUGGCAUCUUUCACCAUGACACUGGCACGAACCUGCCUGUGCCCUCUUAUUGUUGGCCGAGGGAAUGAUCAGGUAGCGAUGACCUCCAAGUUUGAGACCAGAGAAGACUUUGCUGUGAUCCGGAACUAUGGAAACCUGCUCCUGGAAAUGUCUGCCAUCGUUCCUGAUGGAAUCGUUGCCUUUUUCACAAGCUACAUCUACAUGGAGAACAUUGUGGCCUCAUGGUAUGAACAGGGGAUCUUAGAGAACAUCCAAAGAAACAAGCUCAUUUUCAUAGAAACCCAGGAUGCAGCUGAGACCAGCAUGGCCCUGGAGAAGUAUCAAGAGGCCUGUGAGAACGGCAGAGGAGCAAUUCUGCUUUCAGUGGCAAGAGGGAAAGUGUCAGAGGGCAUUGACUUUGUUCAUCAUUAUGGUCGUGCCGUUAUCAUGUUUGGAGUGCCGUAUGUUUAUACCCAGAGCAGAAUCCUAAAGGCACGACUGGAAUACCUCCGAGACCAAUUUCAAAUCCGGGAAAAUGACUUUCUGACAUUUGAUGCGAUGCGUCAUGCGGCUCAGUGUGUGGGGAGAGCCAUUCGAGGCAAAACAGACUACGGCCUGAUGAUCUUUGCAGAUAAGCGUUACGCACGAGCGGAUAAGCGAGGAAAGCUGCCCCGCUGGAUCCAGGAACACCUUACAGACGGAAGCCUAAAUCUGACCAUCGAUGAGACUGUGCAGUUAGGCAAGCACUUUCUCCGACAGAUGGCCCAGCCCUUCAGACGGGAGGAUCAGUUGGGUCUGUCUCUGCUGACUCUGGAACAACUGCAGUCUGAGGACAUGCUUAAGAAAAUUGCUCAGAUCGCUCAACAAGCCUGAGGUCUCAAAGCGAACAAAGUCUGGCAGAUAUGUGUAUAUGAGAAACAUGCUGUCUCAAAAGCAGCUGUAGAGGGCACACGAGCACACUAAAUUGAGGGAAACAACUGAAGGACACCAGGAGUUGGACACCAGCUAUUGAUUGCUGCAGCUGGGCCCGGGCCAGCUCGUCCCUCAGCCACUGGUUCUCCUGGCACAACCUCCGCACCUGAGCACGCAACUUCUGCUUCUCUGCCUCCAAGGACCCCAGGUGUGCUGACAGUGCCAUCAUCACCUGGAUGA